GACGAACGCUGGCGGCGUGCCUAAUACAUGCAAGUCGAGCGAGUCUGCCUUGAAGAUCGGAGUGCUUGCACUCUGUGAAACAAGAUACAGGCUAGCGGCGGACGGGUGAGUAACACGUGGGUAACCUGCCCAAGAGAUCGGGAUAACACCUGGAAACAGAUGCUAAUACCGGAUAACAACAGAUGAUGCCUAUCAACUGUUUAAAAGAUGGUUCUGCUAUCACUCUUGGAUGGACCUGCGGUGCAUUAGCUAGUUGGUAGGGUAACGGCCUACCAAGGCGAUGAUGCAUAGCCGAGUUGAGAGACUGAUCGGCCACAUUGGGACUGAGACACGGCCCAAACUCCUACGGGAGGCAGCAGUAGGGAAUCUUCCACAGUGGACGCAAGUCUGAUGGAGCAACGCCGCGUGAGUGAAGAAGGGUUUCGGCUCGUAAAGCUCUGUUGUUGGUGAAGAAGGACAGGGGUAGUAACGGACCUUUGUUUGACGGUAAUCAAUUAGAAAGUCACAGCUAACUACGU
rnacentral:rRNA from 1 species